AUGUCAAAAGAAAGUAUGAUGAUGUCAUCAAGGAAACAUUCAUUUCAAGAAAUACAGUAUUUCCUGGACUCAGGCUAAGAUCAGGGAUUAGUAAUCCAGUUUAAGUCAGGAUUGUGGGGAAAAAACUGGCUGAGAAUUUAUGUGGAAAAAAUCUGGCUGAGAAUUUCUGUACACUGAAAAUUCCUUUUAAUCACCUCAAAGCUAGAAAUGAUAUAUGUGUAAACACAGUAUGUGCCACAUGCCCCAAUAUAGUUCAUAUUAUUAAAGUGUUAGCUAACAGCGUAGCUUCCUCAUGAGUCCAGACCCAGGGUUUGACUCAAUGGUAAUGGAAAUGAUGGAAGGGAGAUAGCUCUUUCACAGCAUGGCCCAGCACAAGCAUUUUACAGAGCAGCAAGUCAGCCAAGUACCAAAGCAGAUAGCUCUGACUCCACAGCACUGUCAUAUGUUAGAGAUCACAUAUAGGGAGCUUAUGCCUGACAAUCUGCCCUUGAAGGAUAAUCUUACGGAUGCCCCAGUGACAUUUAUAACUGAAUUUGUCAAAACUCACCAAAGCGACAUGACCAAAACGCCAGUUCACCCUUUAUUAGGCAGCACCUCAGGAGAUGCGAGAAUUCCUCAGAAGAGUUUGGCAUCAUAUCUACCUUGCUAACAUGAUACACUUACAACCAGGACUGUGGUAGGUGGACUGUCAGGGUAAUUACCUACACGAUGCUAUGUGGAGUCUCUCCUUUUUACUCCAAAUGCAAUAGCAAGACAAUCCCAAAAUACAUGUGGAGAAAGAUCCUGAAAGAGAAGCAGUGACAAGUUUCAAGCACAGGCCUGAAGCCAGACCUCAGAGGUGAGCAAGAUGUGAGAAAACUCCAUGAGGUCAACCUAGAGGAGAGGUCUACCAUCAAGAGAGUGGGGAGCAGAUGAAACCCAAUUUGACUGAAUCUCUGUGUAAUGGGCUGCUCUGCACUCAACUGAUGGUGGAGAAGACAAAGGCUGCAGGAAUCUAGCAGGCUCAUGUACUAUAAUCAGCCUUAACCCCCUGCACUCUGUGAAUAACCCCAUUCUAAGAAAGAGAAUGCUACUUUCAUCAAGCCAAAGGACAAUGUUUCCAUCUAUGGUUGUGAUAAUGGAGUGAAGGAUUUGAAUGCUGACAUGGGGAAACUCUGAGAUAUGAUGCUCUGUGUAUUCUCUCAAAGGAUAGAAAAAAAAUAAAGAUAAGAAGCUUAAUGAAGCCAUACAUGAGUUUUGGAUUAUAGCAGGGAUGCAAAUUCCAAAAUGAUAUUCUGCAGAGCUUCAGCUGGAAUGUUGUGAAAUCAAACAUAAAAUAGAUUCACUAAGACUGGCAGAAAUUGUGUAGAAAAGCAAACCACAUCUCAUGAAUCCAA
rnacentral:lncRNA from 1 species